UCCUUCCCCAUUCAGCUGCUGCACAGUUAUGCCCCGGAGCCCAGGACGGACAUGCCUUGUAACUUUUUAACCUAGUUAGUGUAACUGCCAAUAUUAUUCCCGUUCGUAUAAAUGUCUAAUCCUUUCUUGAAUCUUGCUAGACUAUUUCCCUCAAUAAUAUCCUGCAGCAGUGAAUUCCAAAGGUGCAUUAUACGCUGCUUUAAAAAUAUUUCCUUUAUUCGUUUUAAAUUUGUUGCCUUUUAGCAGCCCAACGUGGCCGGAGCUCUUGCCUUCAGUGGCACAGGUUAAAGACAAAGCUUUACUUCUCCCAGCACCUUCUUAAUUGUUAUGAAAACCUCGUCUUCUCUCACCAUUUUCUGUUUUGUCAUUUAUAAUAGUAAGUGAGGUGAUUUGACUAAGUGGUUUUAUGCUACUCAGGACACAUAGCAGGCAUUGGCUCCAAAGCUUUCCUUGAUACUAGGUGUGAUUUAUUAGACAAAUAUUUACCCAGUACCUAUUUGUGUAGGAACUGUUUCAAUUUUGGAGACACAGCUUUGAAUAAGACUAGGCCAUUGUUCAGAGGAACCUGAUUUUUCCUCAAAAGGGAGUGGACAGUAAAAUGGUAAGUUUAUAAGACGCAGUUUCAGGGUAAAAGAACUAUCCACCCUCCACAUCCCUUCAACCAGAUCCAAUUUCUUACAGUAUUUUUCUCUAAAAUCUGUAGCACUAUAAUUAUUUACAUAGCAUUUGCAUUGUAUUAAGUAUUACAAGUGAUCUACAAAUGAUUAAUGUGCAUGCAAGCAUAUGCAUAAAUUAUAUCAGGUUCUAUACCAUGCAGGAGAAGGGACUUGAACAUCGUGAGAUUGCAUGGUACUUGGGGGAGGGAAUGUUUUUCUGAAAAAGGGGGUAGUUGGGUGCAGCCACCCAUGAGUCAUUUGUGUGGCAUCACAUGAACUUAUUGAGUUAGUGCCCAGAGGUAGCUGUGGCUCUGUCUUUAUUAUUUGUUGAGUAUGAGAAUGAAUCAAGGUUAAGAAAGGUCAUCUUAGUUACAAAGAUCACCUAGUGAGUGACUCAUUAGACCUGGGAAGAGCAAUUCUUCAAGUCAAGUGUUGGAAUAGAUUUGGCCAGUGAGAGUCCAGUUGCAAGACCUGACUGUGCUCUGUCUAGGCAGCUAGAUGACCUUGGGCAGGUCACCUGAUUGCUCCCACCCAAAGCAUCUUCAUCAAAAAAGGAAGCAAGUUUUCUUCUUUCUUGGAAAUUUGAGUAUUUAGGUACUGUUAUCUGAAAGUUCUUUAUAUACUGCCAAAUGGUGCAAAUAUUUUAGAACUUUGGUUUUUAUUUUAUUUUAAAUUUUGUUUCUUGAUACAGUCUUGUGUGGUCCAUGCUGGCCUAAAUUCACUAAACAGCAAGGGAUGACCUUGAACUUCUGGUCCCCAUGAAUCUGCCUCUCAAGUGCUGGAAUUAUCGGUGUGUGCUACCAGGUUCAUGUAUGUGGUGCUGGGGCUUGAACCCAGGAUUUGGCGCAUUCUGGGCACAUACUUUUCCAACUUUUCCCAACUAAGCUACAUCAUGCAACUCUGAGAUCUGGUUAUUGUGGCAACUGGUGUUCUUACACAGGAUUUACCUCAGGCAUGUGCCAUAAACCACAUCCACAGCUGCAGUGACCAUGUGGUCUUUCAUUCUUCCUUUCCUCUCUUCCUGGUUUUCUUAGUUCCCUCUUUUAUUCCUGCCUCUACUGAAAGCCCACCAUCCUGACAGUGCCCUCUCUCAGAGCCAGCUUCCAGCAAGGUGGACUCAUCGUCCUGAGGUCCUUGUCGACUUCUUAAGAGUUUCUCACUUGUUGAUAGAGCGGACUGGAGGUAGAUUUCAAACAGUGAUUGUUUACUGCUAAAUCUUCUGGGGUCAGGUUAUCCAAACUUCUACAUAUAAAGGCAGAAUCCUUGCCUGAAGUUCUGAGUGAACACUUCCCUGGAAACCAGACUUUGACCUUAUUACCUGUCUUUAGUGUCCCCUCCACUGCAUUCCAGUACGGAGGCAUAUACCAUUUCCUUGUGUAGCCGCUUGGAUUAUUUUUAAUUGAUCCUUAAUAUACACGUUCCCCCUCCCCCCACUACUGAGGCAAUUUGAAGCAGAGACAUGCUCAGCCUGGCAUAAUCAUGUAUUUAAAAGGCAUCUCAAUAAAUUAUUAGGAUUGUUUACACGCAUGGUUCGAAUUUACUGGCAAAUUGCUUGGGCCUUGGUUUUAGGAUGUAGCUGCCGGCCAGGCUCCUUCUGGGUGAAAAUCUGAAAUAGGAGAAGUUGCCCUUUGCUGUCCCUCGCUGGCACUUCCUCUGCCUGGUUCCUGGCCUUUCAACACUUCCCUCCUUUCCCCGCCCUGAAUAACUCUGAGGGGCUGUCAAGCCCUUUGCACCUCCAUGUGAAGACGUUUCAUGGGUCCCUUCCCAAUUCUGCCCCCAACCAAGGUGAGGCGUGCAAAGAAAUAAAUCUUCAAUGGUAUAAUUUUAGAUGCUCUGGCAGCCAGAGAGGGCAGCUAUUUUGGGUUGUAGGGCUUUCUCCUUGACCUGAGGUGACACAGUUUUGCCUGUUGCUUGAGUAGCCAGCCAACCCUGCAUAGUGUCCUUUCAGCAGCGUGUCUGUAGUUCCUAGGGUGGCUUCUUCAUUCCUCUACUGAGGUCUAUGUUCAUCCGGAAUCUUGUAUUCUUGUACAGGGGCGCGAUUCCAUUGACAGGUGCCGCGUAGGCUUGUGGGAGCGUAACGCUCCAGCAUACCCUUUGGAGAUGGUGCAGAAGGAACAGACUCCCCUCCACGUAGAAGACGGAGGAGAAUGGAUGGUCCAGUUUCUGUGUGUCCUUCAGUCUCCAUUCUUUAUCAGCUGCUUGGCCGCCAUUGUGCUCCUGAUGCAGCUGCUAUCUGCAGACCUCCUGGACAGCCCAAGGAAGGGAGUGGGAGCUCCUGCUGCAGAUGGGUGGAACAGCGACCAGAAGGAUUGAAGGUGGCCAAAAAUAACAGUACCUUCCAGAUGAGGUGACCUCCGAGCCAAGAGCAUCAUGGGGUAGAGUAUCUUGUUCCUAGUUUUAUGACCUAAAAAGUACACAGAAGACUCAAAGAUACUACAGAAUGAAGGAAUAAAGUCUGCAGAGAACAAGGAAAUGUGAUUAGUUACUAUUUUUUAAAAAAUUGAGUUUCUUUGUGCACACACAUACACAAGAAAACAUAGGCCUUUUAUAUAUGUAUGAAGAGAGACCCAGAUAGAUAGACAGCCAAAUAGAUAGAACAAAAUACAAUAGAAGACCAAAAAGGAGAAAAAGAUACAGAUAACAUUGCCUUCCUUUGUUUGCUAUUGAAAUAAAUUUAAUAAAUCUUCAUUGAGAACCAAA